UAUAGUUGGGUGCCUUUGAAUGACUUUAUUCCCUUAUUUAGCUUUUCUCCGCUAUAAGUAGAGACUGUAUCAGUUCAUCCGUAUUAAUGAUAAAGUAUUAGUGUUAGAAACAUAAAAUUUCCCGGCUAUGAAAGCAUCGGUUCUGGAAUCAGUGAAGCAUGAACGAAGCAAUAAUGUGUCAAAUGAGGAAUGUAAAGAGGCAAGAGGCCAAGGUUGGAAAUGAA
rnacentral:misc_RNA from 1 species